CAGAGGAUAGUUUAAUGUAAAAUAUUAAUUUUGGAGAUUAAUGAUAGGAAUAAAUUUCUUUUCUCUGA
rnacentral:tRNA from 1 species